CUCUUGUAGUCUAAGUUUAGGGCGGGAAACUUUCUAUUUUCAUGUCCCCUUUUGGGGUAAGGGUGG
rnacentral:tRNA from 1 species